rnacentral:rRNA from 1 species
UUCCGGUUGAUCCUGCCGGACCUUACUGCUAUCGGGGUGGGACUAAGACAUGCGAGUCGAGCGUCUCUAGCUAUGUUGAGACGCGGCAGACGGCUCAGUAACACGUGGCUAACCUACCCUCAGGACGAGGACAAACCCGGGAAACUGGGGCUAAUACUCGAUAGGUGAGUAUGUCUGGAAUGAUUUCUCACUCAAAGGGCUUUAGAAACAUGCUUCUAAAGUCGCCUGGGGAUGGGGCCGCGUCCGAUCAGGUUGUUGGUGAGGUAAUGGCUCACCAAGCCUAUAACCGGUACGGGCCGUGAGAGCGGUAGCCCGGAGAUGGGUACUGAGACAAGGACCCAGGCCCUACGGGGCGCAGCAGUCGCGAAAACUCCGCAAUGCACGAAAGUGUGACGGGGCUACCCCGAGUGCCAUCCGCUGAGGAUGGCUUUUCUUUGGUGUAACUAGCCGGGGGAAUAAGGAGAGGGCAAGACUGGUGUCAGCCGCCGCGGUAAUACCAGCUCUCCGAGUGGUAGGGAUGAUUAUUGGGCUUAAAGCGUCCGUAGCCGGCUUAGCAAGUCUCCUGUUAAAUUCAGCGACCUAAUCGUUGAGCCGCGGGAGAUACUACUAGGCUAGGAGGCGGGAGAGGUCGACGGUACUUCUGGGGUAGGGGUGAAAUCCUAUAAUCCCGGGAGGACCACCAGUGGCGAAGGCUGUUGACUAGAACGCGCUCGACGGUGAGGGACGAAAGCUGGGGGAGCGAACCGGAUUAGAUACCCGGGUAGUCCCAGCCGUAAACGAUGCGGGCUAGGUGUUGGGGUGGCUACGUGCCACUUCAGUGCCGCAGGGAAGCCAUUAAGCCCGCCGCCUGGGGAGUACGGCCGCAAGGCUGAAACUUAAAGGAAUUGGCGGGGGAGCACCACAAGGCGUGAAGCUUGCGGUUCAAUUGGAAUCAACGCCGGU